UACGGGGGGGGGCAAGCGUUGUUCGGAAUUACUGGGCGUAAAGGGCGCGUAGGCGCCUUGUCAGUCAGGCGUGAAAGCCCCGGGCUCAACCUGGGAACGGCGCUUGGGACGGCGAGGCUGGAGUUCGGGAGAGGAGAGUGGAAUUCCCAGUGUAGAGGUGAAAUUCGUAGAUAUUGGGAAGAACACCGGUGGCGAAGGCGGCUCUCUGGACCGACACUGACGCUGAGGCGCGAAAGCGUGGGGAGCAAACAGGG
rnacentral:rRNA from 1 species